AGGAAGGAACGCAAAGAGGAUGGGAAGAGGAGUUCUCGUCGCCGGCGGUGGCGCGGAGCAGCGACGCCCCGCCGUCCGUCUCCUUGACGAACGCCCUCAUGUACACCGCCGCCGCCGCCGCCACCACGGCGGCCACCUGAAGCGAGGAAGCGGGCCGCCACCGUGCCGGCGACGAAGCCGGCGAGGCAGACGCCGGAGAACACGCCGAAGGCUGCCGCUCGCCGCGACGGCGGCACCUUGUCGGCCACGUAGGCCAGCGAGAGGCAGUGCAUGCUGCCCUCGGCGACCAUGGCUGUCACCAUCCUGGUGAUGUAGUAGGCGUAGAAGAAGGCCUUCGUCCGGUUGCACGCUAAAAUAACUAGAUUGCACGCCGGAGAAGCAAUUAUUAGAGAUUAAAACAACUCUGCAAUUAAAAUUCUUCCUCUUAAGCAUAUAUAUAUGCACUUGAUUAUGCAACAAAUUAACAUUUGGAAGUAAUAAUAAUACCCAACGGAAGGAUGGAUGCAGUUGCAGGGAGCAGCAACAACGCCUUGCGACCAUAUUUGUCCGACAGGUUGCCCACGAUCGGAGUCGCCACAAGAGCACCCAACCCUGUAAUCUGCACAUAGCAUAGUAAUUGUCACACAGAAUAUUACGUACUGUGCCAGUUUAACUUUAAGGGCAUGGAAAAUAAAAGUACUAUGUGCCAAAUCUGUUGCAGUAUUUCCCCGUUUGUAUAGGCCAGAUGCAUCAGAAUUCAGACUGGAUUAAUUACUCUUUGGUAUAACAAAAAAAAAAUCUAUACUGUGCUUCUA